UCUUAGGUAGUAUAGUGGUUAGUAUUCGCGCCUGUCAAGCAAGACUAAGGGUUUAAAUCCAAAGUCAAAGCGCGCGCGAGACCGGGGUUCAAUUCCCCGCCUGAGAG
rfam:Sphaerobolus stellatus SS14 unplaced genomic scaffold SPHSTscaffold_51, whole genome shotgun sequence.